rnacentral:rRNA from 1 species
GACGAACGCUGGCGGCGUGCUUAACACAUGCAAGUCGAACGGAAAGGCCCUGCUUUUGUGGGGUGCUCGAGUGGCGAACGGGUGAGUAACACGUGAGUAACCUGCCCUUGACUUUGGGAUAACUUCAGGAAACUGGGGCUAAUACCGGAUAGGAGCUCCUGCUGCAUGGUGGGGGUUGGAAAGUUUCGGCGGUUGGGGAUGGACUCGCGGCUUAUCAGCUUGUUGGUGGGGUAGUGGCUUACCAAGGCUUUGACGGGUAGCCGGCCUGAGAGGGUGACCGGCCACAUUGGGACUGAGAAACGGCCCAGACUCCUACGGGAGGCAGCAGUGGGGAAUAUUGCACAAUGGGCGGAAGCCUGAUGCAGCAACGCCGCGUGCGGGAUGACGGCCUUAGGGUUGUAAACCGCUUUCGCCUGUGACGAAGCGUGAGUGACGGUAAUGGGUAAAGAAGCACCGGCUAACUACGUG